UGAGUAUGUAAAAAAUAGAUAUAUAAUUAUUUCAUAUAAAAAUAUAAGUAUAUAAAGAAACUAUUAUGGAAUUUAAGCUAUGUAUUAAAGAGAAUUAUUUAUAUAGAUAAGAUAAAUAAUCUUAUAAAUAUAUAAACUCUAAGAGAAAUCUAAUAAUAAACGAAGUGAAUUGAAAUAUCUUAGUAACUUCAGGAAAAGAAAUCAAAAGAGAUUCUAUUAGUAGCGUGAGUGAAAUUAGAGUAGCCUAUAAAGUAGAACGGAUUAAAUCUGUUUUAAUUUAAUGGGGAACCUUCCUCAAAGGCUAAAUAUAAUACAUAAGCGAUAGUGAAAAGUACCAUGAGGGAACAAAAUAAAAAUAGUAGUUUUAUAAGCAGUUCGAAAAAAAGAACGUACCUUUUGCAUAAUGGGUCACCAAGUUAACAUUAGAUGCGAGCUUAUGCGUAGUUAAACCGAACGUUAAAAUAACAAAAUAGUGUCUAAAGUUAGACCCGAAGCCUGGUGAUUUUACCAUGAUCAGGAUUAUAAAAGUCCGAACGGGUGAUUGUAGCAAAAAUCUCCGAAGAAUUGUGGUAGGUAUAGUGAAAGACAAUACUGACCAGGAUAGCUGGUUUUCUGCGAAAUCUAUAAUAGUAGAUAAUUCAAGUAAAUAUCUUAGCAGGUACAUAAUUUAAUCUCAGACAAGGCGUGUAUACGUUUUAUUUUGUACAAAUUGGGGAACCAUGAAGGUUUUAUCAGUGAGUAUGCAGACUCGGAAUGGCAAAGAUAAAUCUUGAAUGAUCAGACAUAGAAUGAUAAGGUUGUAUGUCAAAAGGGAAACAGCCCAGAACAAGAGUUAAGGUUCCUAAAUUAUUAGUUGAGUGAAAUUAAGAAAGUUUUUAUUAAAGUCGACAAGGAGAUAGGCUUAGAAGCAGCCAUAAUUUUAUGACCUCGUAACAGAGCGCUUGUUAAGUUAUAAAAGCAUCGAAAAUAUAACGGAUCUAAACAAUAUACCGAAACCUUGUCCAUAACAAAUUAUAAUAAUAAUUUUAGUAUAAUGUAAUGGGGUAGCAGAACGUUGGGUUAAAAUAGGAGUUUUAUUUUUUAAAUAGAAUGAUAAUUUAACUCAAGUGAUAAUGGUGACAUGAGUAACUAAAAGAAAUUUUUUUCCACCUUAAGCUUAUGGAUAUAUUUAAGUAACGGCCUCUAAGUUUAUAAUCUAAAGAUUUAAACGAUGAGAAAAUCUUUUUUAUUAAGGACAACAUUUUAGUGUAAAAUGUACUAGAAAAGUAAUAAAUAUAUUUAUUUAUUUUUAUAAAUAAAUGAAAAAUAACCGUACCUAGAAACUGAAACAAGUAAGCUAGUAGAGAAUACGAAGGUGUAAAUGAGCUAACAAUCAUAAAGGAACUCGGCAAAUUGACUACCGUAACUUCGGGAUAAGGAGAGCUCAUUAUUCUUGAUUAAUAUCAAGUAAAAAGGAAGAAGCAUAAAAUAAUGUUGUACGACUGUUUAAUUAAAACACAGCACUUUGCUGAAAGAUUAAAAAAUCUAAGUAUAAAGUGUGAUAUCUGCCCGGUGCCGGCUGGUUAACAGAGAUAACUUAAUAUAUUACUAUUAGGUGUCAACGGAAACCCCGGUUAAAGGCGGCCUUAACGUGAGGGUCCUAAGGUAGCGAAAUGCCUUGGCCGUUAAAUGCGGUCUUGCAUGAAUGGUGUAACGAUACAACAGCUGUCUCUAUGAUUGACUCAGUGAAAUUGGAAUAGCUGUGCAGAUACAGCUUACCUCUAGUUAGACGAGAAGACCCUAUGCAGCUUUACUGUCACUAAUUAUAGAUUAUGUUAGGUAAUUUUCAGAUUAUAAGGUAAUAGAUAAUAUAACAAUGAGAAUCCUUUAUUUUCCUUUCAUAUGAAUGAAUAGGUCUAGGAUUAUAAGUAAGAUAUAAUUUAUUUGGCUUUACUGAGCUAAUUUAAUAAAUUAUGUUUUUAUAACCUUAUUUUAGUAGACCAGCCUAAUUCAACAUACUAUUAUAAUAGUAUGUACCCUUUGGGAAGGAACUAUCGCUAGGGGACAGUUUAUGUGGGGCACAGACCCUGUAAAGAGUAAACAGGAGUGUCUAAUAUUUUUAAUUAUUAUGUUUGCUAUUUUUAAUAGUUUAGCUAUUAUUAAUCAUAUACAAUUAUACAUAUUUAUAUUUAUUAUAACUAUGUAUAAAUUUAGGUAGGAUUUUUACUAUACAGAAAUUAGAGAUAUAUAAAAAUAUUAUGAAGUAAUUCUAAUAUUUUUAAGCUAUUAAUUUUUAAUAGCAAUGUUUUGAAUAUCAAAAAAGCUCAACGGCUAAAUCCUGCCUUACUGUUUGAUUAUCUACAAAUCUUACAGUUGCGUAAGCAGGGCAUAGGAUCACAAGAUGCAAUAAGGAAAGAUCUUGGAUUAUUGGAAAAGCUACGCUAGGGAUGUUUGUCCUUUAAUAUUUUUAACUAAAUUAUUAAUAUAAAUUGGGUAAAUUUCAAGAAUAGCUACUAUUAGUAAACUUGAAGCGAAGUUUAUCUUAGCAUAAAUUUAAGAUAAAAACGUUCAACGACUAUAAGGUGAGUCUUAUGCAUUGACAAUAAUCCUUUUAAUACUACCCAACAUUUUUAUUAUAAGUAUUUUAAGAAAAACCAUAAAAGAAAAAAAAAGAUAACUAAUAUGAAAAUAUUUAAUCACAAUUUAAAUAACAAUUAUAAAACUAUAUAUUUAAACAAUAAAAUAGGUGAUAUAGGGAAAACUAAAUAUUUACCUUCAUUUUCUAAAGAAUGGAAAAAUAUUGUUUAUUUUUAUAAUAAAAAUAAUUUAAAAAAUAUAGCUAUAAAUGAUGUAAAUAUUAAUAAGAUAAUACAAAGUUAUUUUAAUUUAUAUUUUAAAGAUCAUAAUUUUAUAGGUUCUAAAAAAUUUAUAUUAUUAAGAAGAAGACGUAAUUUUUUAAGAAGAAUAUACGUAAGUAAUACUGAAAUUAAACACACACAUAAUAAAGCAGUUAUAACUUUAUAUGUUGUUAAUAGAGAAAAGAAAAUAUUAAAAAAAAAAUAUUUAAAGAUUAAUAAGAAAGUAAGUAAAAACCUAAUAAAUCGUUAUUUACUUUUAUAUAAAAAUAAUAUUAAAAAAAUAUACGAAAUUUUAAAUCAACAUAAAAGUAAAUAUUUUUUUAUAUCAGAAAAAGUAUCAAAAAGAAAUUUCUUAACAUAUAAAUUAAAAUAUUUAAAUCAAUUUAUAACUUUAAAAAAUCUUUAUCUAAAAAAAACAUGAAGUGUAAUUAUUAAUAAAUAUUGAAAAACAUACUUAAAAUUAAUAAGAAAAUAUGAUUUAAUGUAUUCUCUUAAUCAAUAUAAAUUUAAUAAACAAGUAUUAUUACCUAAAUUAAGCAAUAUUUUAACAAAAAUAAUUGAAAAAAAAAUAGAAUAUAAUAUUAUAAAUCUUAAAUCUAUUGCAUACCAUACAGAUCUUUUCACUAAUGCUUUAAGUUUAAAAUUAAAAAAAAAUAAAAUGAAUUAUAUGAAAAGUAUGUUUAGUAUAUUAAAUAGAGCAUAUUUACCCAAAAUAAAUUUAAUAAAAGAAAGGACUCAAAUAAAAGGUCAAAAUAAUACAGAUUUAUUUUUAGAUAAAUAUAAAGAUUUAAAAGUUAUAUCUAAUAUUAAUAAAAAUAAUUUAAAUCAAUUAAUAAGCGAUAUACAUAAAACAACUCUAAACAAAGAAAUACAUAGUACAAUCUAUAAUUCCAUUGGUUACAAAAACAUGGGAGGUAUAAGAUUAGAAAUUAAAGGUAGAUUAACUAAACGUUAUAGAGCUGAUAGAUCUAUCUCUUCUUUAAAAUGAAAAGGGGGAUUAAAAAAUAUAGAUUCUUCUUUCAAAGGUUUAACUUCUGUAUUAUUUAGAGGAAAUUCACAAUCAAAUCUUGCUUAUUCAUCUACUAAAUCAAAACGUCGUAUAGGAGCGUUUGCAGUAAAAGGUUGAAUAAGCGGUAAAUAAAGGAUAAAACUAAAAUACGAAUAUAAUAAAAAUGAAGACAUAGUCUGAACCAUUUUGAAAAAAAUGGAAAUAUAAUUAUAUGAUAACAAAUAGAACAGGCUAAUUUGCGCAAGAGUGUACAAAAUGAGUGCGCGGUUUGGCACCUCGAUGUCGGCUUAACUUAUCCUCAUGGAUGCAGGAACUAUGUAGGGUGCGACUGUUCGUCGAUUAAAAAGUUACAUGAGCUGGGUUAAAUACGUCGUGAGACAGUAUGGUUUCUAUCUUCUAGAGGGAAUUAGAAUAAAAUAAGAACUAACUUUUGUACGCAAGGAACAAUAAGUGUUUAACUUUAGUUAAAUAAUAGUUACUAACCUAUGGUUUACCUGUUGUUUAUGUGCCUUAAUAUUAAAUAUAAGUAUAUUUAUAUAUUUAUAUAUGCAUUUUUUAUGUAUAGGAUGUUUCUUUCACUAAGAUAAAUGUAUAGCAUAAGCACGGCAGGAAAGCUAAGUUGGUUAAAGAUAAGUGCUGAAAGCAUAUAGGCACGAAACUUAUCUUAAGAUAUUUCUUAAAUAUACGUAAUAUAAUAUUACGAACUUAUAGGCUUUAUCUGUACGAAUCUAGAGAUUUUUAAGAAUAAAGUACUAAUUUUAUAAUUUACUAUGUAAACAUAUAUCAACAUAUGCCUGAUUAGCAUAAAAGUAAUGCAAUUGUUUUGUAAUCAAUAGAAGCAAGUGCGAUACUUGCAUUGGGCUUAAUAGGAUUAGU
rnacentral:rRNA from 1 species